GCCGAAGUGGUGGAAUUGGUAGACACGCUAGACUCAAAAUCUGGUGGGAGCAAUCCCGUGUCGGUUCGAGUCCGACCUUCGGCACCAU
rnacentral:tRNA from 2 species